rnacentral:rRNA from 1 species
UACGUAGGGGGCAAGCGUUGUCCGGAUUUAUUGGGCGUAAAGCGCACGUAGGCGGCUUCUUAAGUCAGGGGUGAAAUCCUGGAGCUCAACUCCAGAACUGCCUUUGAUACUGAGGAGCUCGAGUCCGGGAGAGGUGAGUGGAACUCCGAGUGUAGAGGUGAAAUUCGUAGAUAUUCGGAAGAACACCAGUGGCGAAGGCGGCUCACUGGCCCGGUACUGACGCUGAGGUGCGAAAGCGUGGGGAGCAAACGGG